UACGAAUCGUGCGAACGUUGUUCGGAAUCACUGGGCUUAAAGGGCGCGUAGGCGGGCCGCCAAGUCCGAGGUGAAAUCCCACAGCUCAACUGUGGAAUUGCCCCGGAUACUGGCGGCCUCGAGGGAGAUAGGGGCGUGUGGAACGUUUGGUGGAGCGGUGAAAUGCGUUGAUAUCAAACGGAACUCCGGUGGCGAAGGCGACACGCUGGGUCUCUUCUGACGCUGAGGCGCGAAAGCUAGGGUAGCGAACGGG
rnacentral:misc_RNA from 1 species